GCCGGGAUGGUGGAAUUGGCAUACACACAAGACUUAAAAUCUUGCCCUCGAAAGAGGUUGCGGGUUCGAGUCCCGCUCCCGGCA
rnacentral:tRNA from 1 species